rnacentral:rRNA from 1 species
UUCCUACGGGGGGCAGCAGUGGGGAAUAUUGCACAAUGGGGGAAACCCUGAUGCAGCGACGCCGCGUGAGUGAAGAAGUAUUUCGGUAUGUAAAGCUCUAUCAGCAGGGAAGAUAAUGACGGUACCUGACUAAGAAGCCCCGGCUAACUACGUGCCAGCAGCCGCGGUAAUACGUAGGGGGCAAGCGUUAUCCGGAUUUAUUGGGUUUAAAGGGUGCGCAGGCGGAAUGUCAAGUCAGCGGUAAAAUUUCGGGGCUCAACCCCGUCGUGCCGUUGAAACUGGCGUUCUUGAGUGAGCGAGAAGUA